GAUGAACGCUAGCGGCAGGCUUAAUACAUGCAAGUCGAGGGGCAGCACGAAUAGCAAUAUUUGGUGGCGACCGGCAAACGGGUGCGGAACACGUACGCAACCUUCCUUUAAGUGGAGGAUAGCCCGGGGAAACCCGGAUUAAUACUCCGUAACAUUAUAAAGUGGCAUCACUUAGUAAUUAUAGAUUUAUCGCUUAAAGAUGGGCGUGCGCCUGAUUAGGUAGUUGGCGGAGUAAAGCCCACCAAGCCUGCGAUCAGUAACUGGUGUGAGAGCACGACCAGUCACACGGGCACUGAGACACGGGCCCGACUCC
rnacentral:rRNA from 1 species